rnacentral:rRNA from 1 species
GAUAAACGCUGGCGGCGCACAUAAGACAUGCAAGUCGAACGGACUUAACCUAUAGUUUACUAUUGGAGCGGUUAGUGGCGGACUGGUGAGUAACGCGUAAGCAAUCUGCCUAUCAGAGGGGAAUAACAGUGAGAAAUCACUGCUAAUACCGCAUAAGCUGUGAGUAUCGCAUGAUACAAGCAGAAAAGGAGCAAUCCGCUGAUAGAUGGGCUUGCGUCUGAUUAGUUAGUUGGUGAGGUAACGGCCCACCAAGGCAACGAUCGGUAGCCGGACUGAGAGGUUGAACGGCCACAUUGGGACUGAGACACGGCCCAG